rnacentral:rRNA from 1 species
UACGUAGGUGGCAAGCGUUGUCCGGAUUUAUUGGGUUUAAAGGGUGCGUAGGCGGUCUGAUAAGUCAGUGGUGAAAUACGGCAGCUUAACUGUCGAGGUGCCAUUGAUACUGUUGGACUUGAGUACUGAUGAGGUAGGCGGAAUGGACGGUGUAGCGGUGAAAUGCUUAGAGAUCGUCCAGAACACCGAUAGCGAAGGCAGCUUACCAAGGAGUAACUGACGCUGAGGCACGAAAGUGUGGGGAUCAAACAGG